AGUAUGGGAUACUAUCCUGCAGGUGCCCAAAGCCUGCAUCGCCCUCACAGACCUGCCGCCGCUAGCAGCUUACCACUUCCGGGAGGCAGGCCUGGCUAAGUGGGGGGCCAGGGCAGUAUGGGAUACUAUCCUGCAGGUGCCCAAAGCCUGCAUCGCCCUCACAGACCUGCCGCCGCUAGCAGCUUACCACUUCCGGGAGGCAGGCCUGGCUAAGUGGGGGGCCAGGGCAGUAUGGGAUACUAUCCUGCAGGUGCCCAAAGCCCGCAUCGCCCUCACAGAGUUGCCGCCGCUAGCAGCUUACCACUUCCGGGAGGCAGGCCUGGUUAAUUAGGGGGCCAGGGCAGUAUGGGAUACUAUCCUGCAGGUGCCCAAAGCCCGCAUCGCCCUCACAGAGCUGCCGCCGCUAGCAGCUUACCACUUCCGGGAGGCAGGCCUGGCUAAUUAGGGGGCCGGGGCAGUAUGGGAUACUAUCCUGCAGGUGCCCAAGGCCUGCAUCGCCCUCAGAGCUGCUGCCGCUAGCAGCUUACUACUUCCGGGAGGCAGGCCUGGCUAAUUAGGGGGCCGGGGCAGUAUGGGAUACUAUCCUGCAGGUGCCCAAAGCCUGCAUCGCCCUCACAGAGCUGCCGCCGCUAGCAGCUUACCACUUCCGGGAGGCAGGCCUGGCUAAUUAGGGGGCCG